rnacentral:siRNA from 1 species
CGUGUACUUGAGCAUGUUUACUCC